GGAUCACUUCAGGAUGAAGUAAGGAACACCUCUAGGAUUUGAGGCAUAAAGGAUCACUUCAGGAUGAAGUAAAGGACACCUCCAGGAAGGAGAUGAGAGUCAGAACAGGAUGUAAUGACGGGUUAGGAUGACCAUAGGAACAGCUUCAGGAUGAAGCAUAAAGGACAAUGCUGACGGAACAUAGCAGUCAAAGGAUGGAUGCAGGGAGCGACAUAGUAGCGGGAUUGCUGCACGUAAGACCUAAGGGCGCGACGAAAGUCGCGCCCUCUCUUUUUU
rnacentral:other from 1 species